AUGGGGACUUUCUCUACAUAUGUACCGGAAGAGGAGCGCUGGAAGAUCAAAGUCUGGGUACCUGGGAGGACAUUUGCGCCAACAACGGAGCCUAUUGAUUUCUACCUGGAUGCACCAAGCCGGAGUAUAGGAAAGAGCAUGGCAUCCCAUAUCACCUUUGGACGCAUAUGUGAAGUGUACCACAAGGAGCUAGAGAACACCAUUUAUCAAAUAUGUGGCCGUCGAGAUGAAGAAUGGGAGAUGAUUCGUAUCGGGAGGGAUGGAUCAAUUGCAGCCUACAUUCAAGAGAUGGGAGAUCAUAUUCGUUGA
rnacentral:rRNA from 1 species